UACGUAGGGGGCGAGCGUUGUCCGGAUUCAUUGGGCGUAAAGCGCGCGUAGGCGGCUCCGCAAGUCGGCCGUGAAAUCUCCGGGCUCAACUCGGAGGGGUCGGGCGAGACUGCGGGGCUCGAGGUGGGCAGAGGGCAGUGGAAUUCCGGGUGUAGUGGUGGAAUGCGUAGAGAUCAGGAGGAACACCAGCGGCGAAGGCGGCGCUCUGGGCCGGAACUGACGCUGAGGAGCGAAAGCGUGGGUAGCAAACAGG
rnacentral:rRNA from 1 species